rnacentral:rRNA from 1 species
AUUGAACGCUGGCGGCAGGCCUAACACAUGCAAGUCGAGCGAGAGGCGGACGGGGGAGAAAUGUCUGGGAAACUGCCUGAUGGAGGGGGGUAACUACUGGAAACGGUAUCUCAUACCGCAUACCAUCAGAUGUGCCCACAUAGGAUUAGCUCGUAGGGGGGGUAACGGCUCACCUAGACGACGAGCCCUAGCUGGUCUGAGAGGAUGACCAGCCACACUGGAACUGAGACACGGUCCAGACUCCUACGGGAGGCAGCAGUGGGGAAUAUUGCACAAUGGGCGCAAGCCUGAUGCAGCCAUGCCGCGUGUGUGAAGAAGGCCUUCGGGUUGUAAAGCACUUUCAGCGGGGAGGCGUUACCAACAGAAUAAGCACCGGCUAACUCCGUGCCAGCAGCCGCGGUAAUAC